rnacentral:lncRNA from 1 species
GCUGACCGGGGUAGACCGAGGCUGAGCGCCAUCCCCCACCCAAUAUCUCCACCAACAACUUCAGGCCUUCACUCCCAGUAACAAGCACUCCCUCCACUCCUCAUGUGCUUUCCCAGGCAGGCUCUGCUGGCCACUUCACACCCUUCCUCCUGUAUCAACCACAAGCAAGGUGUAUUACCGUUAGCAUUCUUCUUCUUAUUCUUCUUCCAUACACAGAUAAAGAAACCACUGGGGUAUGGCUCCAAUCCCCGAGUCCACAGGGGACCCCGUGGGCCUCUCUAGCAAAUGCCGUCAAAGCCCUGCCCAUAUUCCCUUGGCACUUGCCACAUCUUCAGUGGGAGGCUGAUUUUAGGGGGAAGCAGGGGUGAAAGAUUCAUAUUCUGUUUGGGCUCCACAGUCCAUGUCAGCGCCUUGUGGCGGGAGCUCGCUG